GCCAGCUUCUGGACGGUCAAUUAACAGCACCUGCCGGCUCCCCACGGUUCUGGGGAGGCUAAUAGAAGGCGGUUUGUGCGGUAGACUAAAUUUACCGAACGACUGUGCAGAAAGGCAUGAAUAAACCUUUCUGCACAGUAGAAAUUAACUGUUUAACUGCCGGUCCAUAAUCCAAAGGCAGCAGGCAGGCAACCAGGCUCCUCCAAUGCAAUGUGGCGAGAUUGGUCUUGUCACAGUUACAGAUUGUCUAAUGUUACUUUGUAUCUAUAUGGUACAGAUUCACAAAUGUUACUUUUUAUCCAUAUGUUACAGAUUAUAUAAUGUCACUUUUUAUCUAUAUGUUACAGAUUAUAUAAUGUCACUUUUUAUCUAUAUGUUACAGAUUAUAUAUUACUUUGCAUCUUUGUAUCUAUAUGUUGCAUUUAUUUAUUUAUAAAAUAUUUUACCAGGAAAGAUACAUUGAGAUUUCUCUUGUUUUCAAG